UACGAAGGGUGCAAGCGUUACUCGGAAUUACUGGGCGUAAAGCGUGCGUAGGUGGUUUGUUAAGUCUGAUGUGAAAGCCCUGGGCUCAACCUGGGAACGGCAUUGGAAACUGGCUUACUAGAGUGCGGUAGAGGGGUGUGGAAUUCCCGGUGUAGCAGUGAAAUGCGUAGAUAUCGGGAGGAACAUCUGUGGCGAAGGCGGCAUCCUGGACCGGCAUUGACGCUGAGGCGCGAAAGCUAGGGGAGCAAACGGG
rnacentral:rRNA from 1 species